UGGGAUGUGGCUCAGUGGUACAGCUAUGGCCUAGGACGCCAGGCCCUGGGUUCCAUCCCCAGCACUACAC
rnacentral:tRNA from 1 species